rnacentral:lncRNA from 1 species
UGGAAUACCCGUGUUGACACGACACGACAUGGGAGGAUGUAGAUAGGAUUACGGGGUUUCCAAUUGAUGGCAUGCCCGUAAUUGGGUGUGAUUACAAAGCGGCUGAAUAUCUCGACAUUUGUAAUGAAUUGCUUUAGUCUGCUAGGUUUCUUCAUGAGAAGAACAAGUGUGGCGUAAAUAUUAAAGAGCUACUACAUUUUAAGGACAUUUCCCUAGAUAUAGUCGGAGCUGGUCUGACCCUUAUGUUAGGGUGUACGUUCUUUAUGUUAUUGAAUGUUUUCUUAUGCCUCCAACGGAUUCAAGGUCGGUGCUUUGCUUGUAUCUCUCCUUGUUGAGAAAUGUUGAUGCCAUAGGGAAUAAUGCAUGGGUAGCUGCUUUUUUAUGCCAUUUGCAUCACAGCUUGAGAGAAUUUAAGAUAGUAAGAAUUAAUGGUAAAAAUCCAAAAAUCAUGAGUUUUUGUGCCUCUUUUCUCACGAUAUGUAUUAUUUUUAUUUAUUUUCUUCAUUGCUAUAGUUUAUAUAAAUUAAUGAAUUAUAAUUUACAUUUUUUAUUUGUCUGUAGCUUUUUUUCUAUGAACACAUGCCCAUUAUUCCCUGCACUCUCUAUAACGUUGAUAUUCAUGGAGAGAAUUCUGAGGAUGGAGAGUCAUUUUUGAGAUUUCCAUUGAUGGUUGGGUGGUCUCAAUCAGUGGAACGCAAGUCAAGAAAUUCUUAUAAUAAAAAGAAAAGGAGAAGAAUUUAAUUUGAUACUCACAAGUGACAAUGUAAGUUUAUUUCAUUUAUGUGAAUUUUUAGUUAGUCUACUCUAAUAUUCUUUAAUUUUCAAUUAAUUUUAUGUUAUUUUCUUUCGUUAGAUUAUGUGGCGGCCACAUGCCAGAUUGCAGGACAAUUUUCUGCCCCAAUAUCUUGUUGGGCAAAUGGAUCUUGCGCUUUCAUGCACAAUAUUAAUAUGUUUUGAAAAAUUGGCAUACCACAGGCCAGACUUGUGCCCGUUAAAGUUGACCUUACAAGUUGAUUUAGUUCCACGUGAACCAUCCUUGGUUAUCGUCAACAAGCACUGCUUCACGAAAAUUUGACUGGGCUGUGAGAUAUGCAAAUUUUGUAAAACUGUGAGAUGAGCGGAAAUUAAAUUUUAUUUUGAACGAAAAUGGUAAUUUAUUUAUCUUGUCCUUUUUUGCAGUGUGUUAAAUUUUAUUUAUGUUUUAAUGUAAUCGUGCUUUUUAUGUUUGGUAGAUGUGGAUGAAAAUCAAGG